rnacentral:tRNA from 1 species
UCCCUGGAGGUCCAGUUAGUAAGAUCCUGCAUUUCCAAUGCAGGGGGUAUGGGUUCAAUCCCUGAUCAGGGAG